rnacentral:rRNA from 1 species
GACAGGGGGCUCGAGCGUUACUCGGAAUGACUGGGCGUAAAGGGCGCGUAGGCGGUUUGUUUCGUUAGGCGUGAAAUUCCUGGGCUCAACCUGGGGACUGCGCUUAAGACAAGCAGACUGGAGUGUGAAAGAGGGUCGUGGAAUUCCCAGUGUAGAGGUGAAAUUCGUAGAUAUUGGGAAGAACACCGGUGGCGAAGGCGGCGACCUGGUUCAUUACUGACGCUGAGGCGCGAAAGCGUGGGGAGCAAACAGG